AAUUUGACAUAUCCUUCUUUCUUUGGGUUUAAAGAUUGUGGUUGCUUUAUCAGUGAAAGAGGCGUAAGACGGAAAUAGGAAAAAAUAGAACAUCUCUGUUGAAUUCAAUUAUUGUCACGGAACCAGAAAAAGAAAAACAAAGAGCAAAAUUGGAGUUGAAGAUGAUCAGUGUAGUGUUGUGAACUGGAGUUAAGAAUGAAAGACUAUUGAGACAAAUUCAUCCAAGGAAUUACUGACGUUGUGUCGUUGGGUUGGGCUCUAUGCUCACCAAGCUUGAUUCUGAUUUGCAACGGAAGAUUAGGUGCCCAGGCUUGAAGUAUGGUAAUGAGUAACGGUACUUGAUCGCAUGUGCAAGAGUGAAGUGGUCACUAUAUUUUUUUAGCUUUCUUACUUUCAUAUCUACGGGUCAAGUGGAAAUUAUAGGCUUUCAUUGCUCAUUCAGGUUAGGACUAAAAACUAAAAUAUUUGGAUUCUCACCUCAUUUUCUACCUGUUCUCUGUUUUGUGUCUACCUAAUCAAACAUGCCUUAAAUAACUUGGGUUACAUAUAAAAGGUUUUGUCAAUAGGUUUAAAGUGAGACACAUAAGAUUUUGCCUCUAGGAGUGAAACUAUUUACUAGGUUUUCACUUUGCAUAUGUGUCAGUAUAAUACUAUUGUUCACUAUCUUGCUUUUCCAUGUGUUGUAUUUGACUAGACAAAAACAUAAAUACAUAUUCAAUUUCAUGAA